rnacentral:sRNA from 1 species
ACACACACACACACACACACAAAUCCAAUCAUCUUAUAUUCACAUGAUUCUUCAAUGUCAACAAAUGGAUAUAUUUUAUUUUAUGAGUGACAUGCCUAUGGGCUUGUUUAACUAUACAAACGACCCCAAAGCAGUGAUGACUUUAGAUGCUCCCAUUGUGUAUAGUGACAUGCUUUACUAUGGCUGAACAUAUUCACUCCCCUAGUAAACAAUUCAGGUUUUCCUUUAACUUUUAAACUCUGAAAAUUUCCCCAAAAACAAGCAGAGGGAGGAAACUCACAGGACUUUAUUUUAUUGCAAAAGAAUAAUAACUCAAGCAUCCAAAAGCGGUAUUAACUGUUUCUCGUGUCUCAAUAUAGAAAGCCAACCUCCUUUUGGACUAGGCUUGCUAGGGGACAUUUGUACAUUUGGAUUUGCUGUUUCUAGAAAAGUCUAAAAAGUAAAAGACAAACUUAAUGUUGUGGAAGUCCUAUGAUGAUUUUAGAAUAGCUACGUUAUCUUUCUUGUUCUGACUCAUCUAAAUAUGAAAGCUUUAAAGUAUGAUCACGGCUUUAAAGUAUUCACAUUAAUUUUGUAAAUCAUAAAGUAGAUUAAAUAACUGAUAGAUACAAAUUGUUCAUCCACACAUGAGGUAACUAUAGCAGAGGAAUGAAAGUUACUAACUCCAUACUGUAGAACCAAUUAACAGCAACUCCAGUAAAAAGUCAAGCCCCUCGCUUUCAGGUUCUGCUGUCUUUCUAAGCAGGUAUUUCCCAUAUUAUCCACUGUUUGGCUUUCUACGAGAUUGCCUGGCAAUAAAUUUGAAUUAUAUUUAGGCAGACAAAAUUCUGAAUUAUAACUCAGACUUUAGGUUGCCAGCUGGAUACAGUUCAGCAAGACACCCAACUGCCAUUUAGAGGCUAAGCAAUGUGUAAGAGGCCAAGACAGCUCAGAAAUGCCUGUCCUCAUCAGUAUCAAGGGGCUGGCAUAGGUCCUGCCUGGCAAACACAGUUUCCAGUGUAAUGGAACAUCACAAUUCCACAGACUAACACAAUGGUUUUAAAUUUGGAUGGUUUUAAAAAGUUAAGGGAACUAUGUCUCUUUUCAAAGAUUUUUGCAACAAAAUUUGAUAUUGGUUAUUUAAUAUAAGUUGUUGUCUGUCCUCAGUCUUCAGGGUAGAUUGGUAAAAAUUUAAGAAGUAGUGUUCAUUGCUUUUCAAGUCCUUCUUGUGCCUAUUUUUCAGUGUUUAUCCAAGGGCAAGCUAUUUAGUAUGUUUUUCCCUAAUUGUUUUUAAGCUUGAAUGAAUUCACAUAUUAAAGCGUUUGAAGCAGUUCUUGGGAUAUAUUAAGAUUCAAGUAACUAUUUAUAAGGUAAAUACUUUAGGGUUAAGUGUCUGAGUAUAGAAAGAAAGGAAGGUUGGUGUUUAAUAAUAGACUGGAGACAUCACUGCAGUUUCAAGGGACCCAUAUUUUCCUAGCUCCUUUUCCAGGAUUGUUCCAAAGCUUAACUAAAUUGCACACAUUCUAGGAAGAAAUACAUUUUCAUAAAUAUCCCAGUGGCCAAGAGACUUCUUCCAAGUCACCAGGCAUUCAUAUACAUUUCCUACCUGAAUUGCAGUUCUGAUCAUUUAGCCAAAUAUAAUUUCUGGAAAUUACCAGGGACAUAUUCAGCUACAAUACCCAGUACUGCAAAACCCUGAAGUUCUACUGUAGUUUUUUUUUUCAGUACAGAAAUUUUUGGAAGAUGAUUCUUGCUCAUAUCCUCUUGAUUGUAGUAGUUAGGUAGUAGAUUGAAGCUAUGGUUGCCAGGGUGACUGCCUCUGGAAUUCAUGAUGAUUCUUUUCUUUAUUCUAGAAUUCAUCUAACCCAGAAUACUGAGUUUCAAAAAAUGAGGCGAUCAGGGUAAUACCAAAACAGAACUUAAAAAAAAUUAGGAGACAAAUCUAAUUAAAGAGAUGGUUUCUUGAUCGAUACUAAUGGAAAAGGCAGGAAGCUGAGUGGAUUAAUGACAUCAAACUAAUUUUUUUCUUUCAUUCCGAAAAUGAAAAUAUAAGGAAAAGACAUCACAGCCAAACAACUAAAUUUCUCAACAUCAUUUACAUAUUAGUGGAGAGUUGUGGAGAUAUUUAUUACUAAUUUUCCUAUUGCCUUGGUAAACUUCAUCUCUGUUUGUUGUAAAGUUUCUAGGCAAAAUGAUCUAAGAAUGGCUUCAGAGUCUGACUUGCUCAAAUGAAAAUCAUCUGCUAAAAAUACUUUUCUAAUAAUUUCAUAAUUUCCUGAAUAGUUUCAUAUUUUAUUGAAUUAAAAACUAAAUUUAAUAUCAUAAAGCUAUUAUAUGCAAAUUACCAAAAUUUAAAGUGUUCAGAAAGUGAACAUUACACUUAACAGAUUUGAAAAGUAAACUCAUAGCUAUGAUUAUAUUGACUAGAAUAUAAAAUGUAGUAUUUGCAACUGAUUCAAAAAUUGGGCAUAAAAUAUUACAUUGAAUAUUGUUUCUUUUUUAGUUGAGUCCUCUUAAGUUUGUUAAUGAAGACUAAUUAAUAGGAAGAUUACUUGGGUGUAAUUAUUUUGUUUACUCACUUAUUACAGUGACUUACAAGAUCCUGCCUUAUUUCUUUUUCUAGUAGGUAUGAUUAGCUAUGGGAAACAGCUACAAAGGUGAGAAAUUUGAGGGCAUUUUAGUGACUGAAGUUCUAGAACUGGAAAAGAAUGCCUGAGAGGAAACUGGUUAAAGUUCCUAAAGUUCAUUCACAGCCAGAAAGAAUUAUCAGAAAUUUCUAAUGGUAUUCACGCACCAAGAAGCCUCUGUCUAGGAAGUCAUGUCUUGGUAGGGAGGUCUCAAGGGAAGGUUGCCUACUGAAUCAUCUGUGACAGCAAGGGAUAGGCAAUAAGUAAAUAAAACCUGAAAGCAAACAUUUCCCAAUGUCACAAGUGGUCAGCACCUAUUGUUAAAUCCCAAUGAUCAUGUUGAUUUCAUGUUGAAGAAAGUCUAAUAGAUGCCUCUGAACAGGUAACAAUAAUUUAAAGUGAAAGGAGGCCAUAUCUAUAAAUCCUGAUCUAAGUAAUGGCCCAACAGUUUGAGACCGUGUAGAAAACGUAUUUCUUAUGUGGAUGUGAUGAGGGAAGAAGCAGAGGAUGAGGUGAAGUGGUGUGUGGGAAGGGAGGUGGUAUGUUCGCAUGUUUGCUAGGGGACAGUGACACUGUAAUUUAGCUGCAUCAGAAGCCAAACCUUCGAAAACAUCACUCCUCCAGGAAGGUCUGGAAAGAGGGGGAGAUCAUUUGUAUUUGGGGAACCAUUUGAAAGUUAGAAGAAAGAUGAAAGUCUCAGCCUCUCUGAUGAUGGGAUUCUGAGCAGUACAUUCUAACACAGACAAUCUAUGCCUCCAAAGAGAAGGGCUUUCAACUAAGUAUUAUUUUUCAGUAAAUUCUACACAUAAAGGAAUGCAUUUCCUAGUGUACAAAAAUAAGUUCUGAAUGCCUGCUUAUUAUAAUACUUCUCUGAACUCCUCCUGAACCUAUCCUCUAUCAGUAGAAAAUGGAAUUAUUUAUUUCUAUGGGCCAUCAGACAAUGGAUUUUGGAUGCAUUGUAAGCUGAACUUAAUUAUUUUUACCAAAACUUGGAAAUAGUUUAUUUAUGUUUGGGUGCUUGCCAAGGCUAUCUGCCAGGGCAACAACGUAUCUGGCUGAUACAGGCUGAUACAGGCUGAUUUGUUCCUCCCAGCUCCCCAAGUUAAAAUCCACUGCUUAUGAACAUCAGCUAAUAGGCUUUUGCAGGUUUCUCAAAAAUUAAUUACCGUUGAUGUAAAUUAAUUGCUAAGUAGAUAAAAGAAUUCCCAAUGAAUCUUUAACUUUUAAAACUUAGAAUGGCGUUGUUUCCUAUCAACAGAUAACCAGGUCUCCGGAAAAGUCUUCGAAUAAAUGAAGUCUGAUAAAAAACAUUGCUUCCUUCCCAGGCUCACUCUCUCUUUAUUAAAUUUGAGCAAUAGAACACAUUCUUACGUCAACAGGUAUUGAGGGAGGAUCUGUAAUGCAAUGAUCAUUCAGUCAGACGCUAAAGAUAGAACCCCAAAUAUGUAGAAUACCCUCUACGUUCUUUAAUUUAUGAAAAUAUCACACAACCCUAAAUAUUCAGUUUCCAUAUUAACAAAAUUAGAGCUGCUAAAACUAAAUAACACCCAUGUAUUUUUUGGGGGGGGAGGGUGGGAUGGUGUUGUGGAGGCAUAGGACUCACUAUGACCUAAACAAUAGACACAUGGCUUUCUUCAGAUUUCUGGCUUAGAGACAUUACUAUAACAAGUAGACCCAGCAACUCAAAUGCCAAUGAAAGACAUGCUUAGACCAAGAGCUCACUUGAAGAACAGGGACAAAAAAUGGAACAGAGACUGAAGGAAGAGCCAACCAGGAAUUGUUCCACCUCGGGAUCCAUCAUGUCUACAGAGACCAAACCCAACACUAUUGCUGUGAACAAGAGGCACUUGCUGACAGAAACCUAGUGUGGUGGUUCCUGAGGAGGUCUGACCAGCGAGUGACCAAAGCAGAUAUGGAUGUGCAUCAGACUGAGUACAAAACGGAAUCUGAAAGAAAUCCUUUACAUCAUGGAAGAUACUCCAAUGCAAUACAGUUUGCUACGCAGCUGGUUGUCUCUGGUAUGGCUUUGGUCUUCUGGCAUGAAAAGGCGAGCAUUUACCAUAAUACAAAUGUUUAUAGUGGUAACUUUAAAGUUUUAGGAUUUGAUCAUACCAUUUCUUCAUAGGGACAUUCAUUUAAUUAUGACAGUAAAAUCGUGAAGUCACUAAUCGUUUUAAAACACUUUUUCCAAAUGGAUAUACUAUGGAUAGAAAGUAAUUCAUUGGCCAUGCUGACAAGAUUAUAGCUAGAAAUACAAUCUUAGUCUCUUAACACCUGAUAGAGAAUGUGCUCAAUUACAUGACACCAACACUUCGGGAGAGCACAUCCAUUUGUUCCACCUAUGUUGAACCAGUGAUUGUUUUUAUGAAUGAGGAAUUAUGAGUGGUGGGAGUACAAAUAACUGAAGACAGAAUGUUAUAGAAAGAAAAUGAGGCAAGACUAGAGAAAAGGAGACAUGCUAUUUUUAUGAAGAAAACAGGAAAUCCAUCUUCUUGAGCAAACCGGGAACAAAACAGCAAGCUGGUUUGGAAGACAAGCUAAAUGGAUGGGAGAGCAAGGACGAUGGGCUUCUAUGACCUUGCUGAGAAGUUUAGACAUGGAAAAGCACACAAAUGGAAGAGUCAUUACUUCUGUCAUCCAAUUAUUAACUUAUGUAGUUAAAUUUAUAUACUGUUAGAUGCCAUAUAAUAAAAAAUUACAGAUAGGUCAAGCCAUAAGGAAUUUAAUGUUAGUGAAGGGACAUCAAGUUGUGGUGUAUGCGAUAGUAUGUGAUUGCCCUUCAAGAGAGCAGGGAUGGUAAGUACCUGGUGAGAAAUGACCCAUAUGCCAUCAGAAUGGACUUAGCAUUUGUUCCAUGUCAAAAAAGACAAUCAGAAGUAUGUUGAGAUGCUGGUACUUUAAAUUCUGGAUAGCUGGUUUGUGGUGGACAGACCCUGUGGGAGCACAGGUUGUUAAGGCACUGAGAAUACAAUUCAGAGGCCAGGUGAUUAAGGCCCCUGUAGAAUUAUGGCUGUUGAGAAGAAUUUUAAAGGAGGAUAUCAGUAACAUUUAGGAACUGAUUAGAUUUAGAGGUCAAAGAGAAAGAGCAAUUGAAUAAAUUUACAGUGAUGAGACUGGGGCAUUGAAUAGAUCCUUGUGAAAUUAUGAAUAAUUAGGAAAUGGGACAGGAAUGAUGGGGAUGCUCCCCAGUGCUCCCAUCGCAGUCCUCCACACCCAGAGAAGGGCUCCUAGAGCUUAAAAGCCAUGGCAUGAUUUAGAGUUAAUGAUUCCCUCCAGGAUACAAUUCAUGGGCAAGGUGAUAAAGCCAACCGUGAAGGAGACCAUGCGCUGCCCCCUAUUGGAUACUCAAUUGAUGAUUUUCUGUGGAAUUGAACAGAGUUGUGAGAGGCAAGGGCAUCAUAACGACAUUGCAGAGGGAACUCAGAGGCAGUCCUGAGUGGUAUAGAAGACGGGCUGUGGACCUCCGAGACCUCCAGAGAUGGAGUCCAAGCUUUCCAACUAAGUGGGAAAUUUAAGGCAAGUGACUUCACCUUUUCCUCAACCAGUGUUCACAUCUGUAAAUUAGAAAGUGUAAUAUUCUUAUACCUCACCUUGCAAGGCAUGGAAAUAAUGCUGUGAGACAGUGAAGUACUUGAAUAACUUCUCUAGACCUUAUUUUAUCUAACAAACACUAGGUAUUUCCACAUUUAUAUGAUUACUGAUUGAGGGGCACAUUGC